rnacentral:rRNA from 1 species
ACCCGAUGCAAACUGCGAAUACCGGAGAAUGUUAUCACGGGAGACACACGGCGGGUGCUAACGUCCGUCGUGAAGAGGGAAACAACCCAGACCGCCAGCUAAGGUCCCAAAGUCAUGGUUAAGUGGGAAACGAUGUGGGAAGGCCCAGACAGCCAGGAUGUUGGCUUAGAAGCAGCCAUCAUUUAAAGAAAGCGUAAUAGCUCACUGGUCGAGUCGGCCUGCGCGGAAGAUGUAACGGGGCUAAACCAUGCACCGAAGCUGCGGCAGCGACACUAUGUGUUGUUGGGUAGGGGAGCGUUCUGUAAGCCUGCGAAGGUGGCCUGUGAGGGUUGCUGGAGGUAUCAGAAGUGCGAAUGCUGACAUAAGUAACGAUAAAGCGGGUGAAAAGCCCGCUCGCCGGAAGACCAAGGGUUCCUGUCCAACGUUAAUCGGGGCAGGGUGAGUCGACCCCUAAGGCGAGGCCGAAAGGCGUAGUCGAUGGGAAACAGGUUAAUAUUCCUGUACUUGGUGUUACUGCGAAGGGGGGACGGAGAAGGCUAUGUUGGCCGGGCGACGGUUGUCCCGGUUUAAGCGUGUAGGCUGGUUUUCCAGGCAAAUCCGGAAAAUCAAGGCUGAGGCGUGAUGACGAGGCACUACGGUGCUGAAGCAACAAAUGCCCUGCUUCCAGGAAAAGCCUCUAAGCAUCAGGUAACAUCAAAUCGUACCCCAAACCGACACAGGUGGUCAGGUAGAGAAUACCAAGGCGCUUGAGAGAACUCGGGUGAAGGAACUAGGCAAAAUGGUGCCGUAACUUCGGGAGAAGGCACGCUGAUG